rnacentral:rRNA from 1 species
AAAAGAAACUAACAAGGAUUCCCCUAGUAACGGCGAGUGAAGCGGGAAGAGCUCAAGCUUAAAAUCUCCGGUCAGGUUCUGGUCGGCGAAUUGUAGUCUAUAGACGCGUUAUCAGUGUGGCCGGUCGGGGUAAGUUCCUUGGAAGAGGACAGCAAUGAGGGUGAUACUCCCGUUUGUACCUGAUUGUGUUGCGCGUACGAUGCGUGUUCUUUGAGUCGCGUUGUUUGGGAAUGCAGCGCAAAGUAGGUGGUAAAUUCCAUCUAAAGCUAAAUAUUGGUGCGAGACCGAUAGCGAACAAGUACCGUGAGGGAAAGAUGAAAAGAACUUUGAAAAGAGAGUUAAAGAGUACCUGAAACUGCUGAAAGGGAACCGGGUCGUUGCCAGUGUCUAUAAUCCUUGGCAUAUUUCAUUGCCGUGUCUGUUUGUUCCGCGUGUUUGUAGCAGUUUGUUCUGUGCAUUGCGUGGUUGUGAGCGGUCGUGGCGGUGCCCUGUGCUUUGGUGGGACGUCAGAGUCAGUUCGUAUGCUGCGGGAAAUGGUCGUGCAGGAGGUAGGUCGGGGGCUUGCUCUCGGCUGUUAUAUCUGUGCGUGCCAGUAGUCGUGGUUGGGACUGAGGUGCCUACAACGUGCUUUUGAGUCUUUGGGUCGCUCUGUGCGCGCGUGUGCGGGAUAGCUUGCUAUGCCGUGUGCGUUUGUGUGUGGAUGGCGUGCUCUCUGUAACUUGUUGCCGUUCGGGACUUUGACGAAAUGGCGCGAUCCGACCCG